GGAAAAGGAAGAGGAGGACGAGGAGGAGGCACGGAUAAGGAAGAAGAAAAGAUUAUUAGCUGUAGCCCUCCCUCCAGCUGAUAAGGGGAUAAGCCAUAGUAAGCCACAGCUUACUAUGUUCAACAGAUGCCUGAAGGAAGUGUGUGUAAGGGAGGAUAAAGAGAUCAUGCUGGCCUAUGCAGACGAUGUCGCUGUCGUGACAGGAAGCCAACAAGAUCUUCAAGAGGCCAUGACAAGAUGGAAUGAUGUUUUAAAUAGGGAAGGAAUGAGAAUGAACAAACAAAAAACUUAUUUACUAGUGGACAAGCAACAAGUGAUGGUGUGGCUCUGAGCCACUGUAGUAGGGAUGUUAUGGUUUAAGUGUAGGAAGUUGCAAAUGCUCACCUAACAAUUGCACCUUAGUAGAAAAACACAAACAGGAAGUUUAUGCAAGUUUUUAUCCUUAUAUAAAAUGUUGUAUUGCAUCAAACCUCCAUACAUUACUGUCUCUAUCCAGUAUGAGACCGGUGUUCAGGAAGCACAAGCAUGUGCUGAAUAACAAGAAGCCGGCAUUGGUGAAGGUGACAACAUUUCAUCUAUUUAUACAUACUUUUUAUUAUUAAAGCUUAUCUUAUAAUUAUUUCUGAAGAGAUUGACUAAUUUUUGUAGUAUUUAUGACUUAGAACUAUGAUAAAGCUAUGAAUUGAUAUAAUUCCUGAUUUGUUUUAUCUUUUCAUUAUCCUUCCUUUGUUAAUUGAGCAUUUUAUAUUACUUAGCUUAAAAAUGCAAGAACGGUUCAGAAGUAUCCAACCUUGGGCUAAGGGCCAAAAUUAUGGUAUCAUUCAAAAUGUCCUUCAAAGAAAGCCCUCUGUAAUCCAACACACUUAGCCCAUUAAUCCUUCCAUUUCUCAUCAAUUUGUUCAACAUUCAUAUUUUUCCCUUAUAGGGUUGAACAAUUUUCAUGGGUUCAGAGCAAAAGGCUUCCUCAUUCCUCCCCAAGGUAUUCUCGGAUGGUAAGCAGGUUUGACUCUGGAGCAAACCUGACCAAGGGCUACUGCCCAAGGCUACAGAGGUUCCUCUCCCUGAGGCUGAAUGCACCAUGUGAGAUGGUUCUGUUAUGUGGAUGAAUGUCAUGGUGGAUAGCAGUGCCACCACAUUCCUACAAUCAUCCAUCACUCCACUGCUCAAACGCUUCUGCAACCAAUGAUAGGUAUGCUGCCACAUUCUGCAUGGUCUCCUUGGCUCUCAGAUAAGGAUACUGUCAACAGGUUUGGGAUUGCCAAAAAAUCAUAAGGAGCUAUGUCUGAAAAGUCCAGAGAGAGAGAGAGAGAGAAAGAAUGAGCAAGAGAAAGAGUAGGAUGAAGCAAAGGAAGAGUCAAGAGGGAGGAAAGAGAGAGUAGGACAAGAAAAAACAGAACAAAUAAAUCCCCUACACGUCUUGUCUCCAUUCACACAAGCCAUGAAAAGCUUGUCCAUCCCUGAGUGCUCAGAAGCAGUGUUCCACUGAUGAUGUGGAAACUUGAGACACCCAAUCAUUUAAUGGGCUUUAGUAGGUUUUGUCACCAGUCUUCUGUGUGUCACUGACUACAUUUUGAAAUUUUUAUCUGUUCUAUUUAAUUUUGUGUGUAUGUACACAAUGUUUAUGGUCAAUAAACUAUUUAUAAAACUAUUUAUCUGUGUGAGUAAGAUAAAAGCAGUUAUUGUUAUUAUUAUUAUUAUUAUUAUUAUUAUUAUUAUUAUUAUUAUUAUUAUUAUUAUUAUUACACAUUUUCCUCCUUGUAUUUAAAUAUUAUUAUUAUUAUUAUUAUUAUUAUUAUUAUUAUUAUCAUGAAUUGUUCUUGUUUAUAAAUAAAAUACUGUAACUGA